rnacentral:rRNA from 1 species
CCGGGUACCAAUACCAUUUCCCCCACCCCACCAUACCCCCUUUCCGUUUAGUGAACCUGCGGAAGGAUCAUUACCGAGUGCGGGUCCUUUGGGCCCAACCUCCCAUCCGUGUCUAUUGUACCCUGUUGCUUCGGCGGGCCCGCCGCUUGUCGGCCGCCGGGGGGGCGCCUCUGCCCCCCGGGCCCGUGCCCGCCGGAGACCCCAACACGAACCCUGUCUGAAAGCGUGCAGUCUGAGUCGAUUGUUUGCAAUCAGUUAAAACUUUCAACAAUGGAUCUCUUGGUUCCGGCAUCGAUGAAGAACGCAGCGAAAUGCGAUAACUAAUGUGAAUUGCAGAAUUCAGUGAAUCAUCGAGUCUUUGAACGCACAUUGCGCCCCCUGGUAUUCCGGGGGGCAUGCCUGUCCGAGCGUCAUUGCUGCCCUCAAGCCCGGCUUGUGUGUUGGGUCGCCGUCCCCUCUCUCCGGGGGGACGGGCCCGAAAGGCAGCGGCGGCACCGCGUCCGAUCCUCGAGCGUAUGGGGCUUUGUCACAUGCUCUGUAGGAUUGGCCGGCGCCUGCCGACGUUUUCCAACCAUUCUUUCCAGGUGACCUCGAUCAGUAGGAUACCCCGUA